CACGCGUACCCAUCCCGAACACGACCGUUAAGCCCUCCAGCGCCGAUGGUACUUGGACCGCAGGGUCCUGGGAGAGUAGGACGCUGCCAAGC
rnacentral:rRNA from 1 species